CAGCCCAAUUUCUUUUCAGUUCAACCUAAUGAAUCUCUGUUGCCUUUUCAGAUUUACAUGACAGGUUUAUUUCAUUAUCCAGAGGAGAGAACUCCAAGGUGGCCUGCCUAGAAGUCCCAGGGUCCCUCAACGGGCACACAAAUAUGGUUAUCCAGCUGCAGCUAUAGGCAAUAAGGCAGCCUACAAGCUCCAACAGCAUCUUUCUUCCUUUUCUCUUUACAGAUAUGGACAAGGUCUCCCAGCCUCCCAGCCCACCCUUCCAGAACUGGAGAGAGCAGAGUGUCCUCAGGAAAGUUCUUCUGCUUCUGCCUCCUCACAUCCCAGGGCUGUUUAACUUCAGCGUCUCAAAAACAAGAUUCAUGGGCUGGAGUGGUGGCUCAAUGGUAGAGCGCUUGCCUAGCAUGUGUGAGGCACUGGGUUUGAUCCUCAGCAACACAUAAAAAAAUAAAUAAAUAAAAUAAAG
rnacentral:lncRNA from 1 species